GCUGGGAAGAGGAAGAAAGAGAGAGCUCAAGAGCAGUGGGAAUGGGAACAUGGAGGAAACCCUACCCUGUUUGUUUUCUCCUCCAGAAACAGAGGUGGAAGCUUCGGUUUGGUGUUUCCCGGUGCCUCCCAUUCCUAUCGUUCUUAAGCGCUCCUUCCUCUUCUUUUUUGCU
rnacentral:pre_miRNA from 1 species